UGCUGUCACCAUUUUCUAGAUGAGGAUGAGCUCUGUGGCAGCUGCUCAAAGUGCAAUGUAAUUCUAAUCCAUUUUUUUACCAUUAAAAGAAUGUUUAUCUGCGACAAACUGACAACGGUUUACCUUACUGGGAUAAGCUCCAGCAACCACGUGACCCCAAAAGGGAUUCUGUCGGUUUGGAAAAUGGACGGAUGGAUGGAUCAGCACUGCUAAAGGCUUUGGGAAAGGGUUCACUUCAGCAGUACGUCAAACAAAAGGAAACCAUUGCUCAGUCAGAAGAUCGUCUUCGGUCUCAUGGAGUUGAGACUUCUUUAAAAGGCAAAGCAAACAUGAAUUCUAGCCUGGAAACAUCUGAGGUCUUUGAAGAAGCUCAACCCCACUGGUUUUAAUCCAGUAAAAAGAUCAGUUACCUUUUCCCAUUGGUUUCAUCAACACUCUGACUAUUACACUGUACUGACUAUAUAACACUAUUUUUGCUGUUGUCACGGCUACAGAUGAGUCACGUUUCGCCAGAAGCCAAACAAGUUUAAAGGUGCUAAAGCUCAAUGGCCCGAGGGUAACUGCUAAACUCACAGCAAUGCCUUCUAAAUAUUUGCUGACUUCAUUCUGCCGUGACAGAAAAUGUAAGAAAAUCUCAAGAGAUUUUUGUUGGUAAAUUGCAAAACUUUAAUACUACAAACAUGUUUGACUCUUUUGAAUUAACGUUUUCCCACAUUCAACAUUUGAAAAAUUAUUAUGGGAUGGCCACAGGACCAAUGGGUUGGUGGCCAUUUUGUGGCAAAGUGAGAAAUUUGGUAAAAGAAAACUUUUUGAGUGAUCUUUACAAAAUUUUCCACAAGUGCUGCCAUCUUAAAAUAAAAAAA